rnacentral:tRNA from 1 species
ACUUCUGCAGAACAACAGCUCGUUCAUUGGUCUUAGGAACCAAAGGCUCUUGGUGCAAAUCCAAGCGGAAGUU